GUCGACGAGGUCACGGCGGGCAGCGCUGUGACUGUUCAGCGCGGCAGCGUCCCGGCAGAGCGCCUCUCCCUCGACGGCAGGGCUUUGUAGAACCUGUUUCUGGAAGUUCUCCCAAAGCACACAAAUAGGCAAAAGGCAUUUCAACUCCCUGGCACUACUAAGGGCCAGAGUUCCGUGUUACAGCCCUGAAGGCACUCAGGGAGCUCUCCGACAGCCGCUGAUUCUCACAGAUGGUGAACGUGACUCACAGGGAAACACGGACAGCAGUUCUUCUGCCUUCCCUGUCUUCUUCUCGUGCUUUUAGAGACAUAGACAAGAAAAAGGAUGGAACUCUUUUUGCUCUUUUUUUGUUGCAAGACUCAUCUGUUACAUGGAUCUCAGGAAAGAAAAGGGGUCACAGAGAACAUUUUCCUUAUUCUCAAGUUAAAGAACCUGAUGUUUUAACCAAGAAAAGAAUCAUGAGAACUUAAGGACUUGAAAGACUAUCGACUUUCCACCCCACAGAGGACUGAGCAGAGGCAAGAUUGAGAAAGCGAUGAAUAGUGCCCUGACUCUCCAGAUGGUUAAAUUUGUACAAAGAACAGUAUUUUAAUUAAUUAAUUAAAAAAGGAAAAUCUAGGGAGAUAUUAAAAUAUACCAGCCCUAGCUCCAUAUUAAAAAAAAAAAAUCCCCUUAACUUGGAGAGUAGCUCCAGGAGGGACACUGAUGGUCCUGCUUGAGAUGUGUCCCCACCAGUCUUCUGAGCCCAGGAGCUGGGCUGCUGUGAUUGGCCGGGUCCAGAGUUGCGGGCACAGAGGAAAUGUUCUGGGGAACCAAAUGCAGGGGUUACCAGAUGCACUGCAGGAGGACAGAAGCAGAGCGUGCUGAGAUUUUUUUUUCCAAGUAAAAAAUUUUAAUCGAAGUGUAACAUACAGAAAUGUACACAAACUGUAGGUAUAGAAUUAUAUUCACAACACCAGUAUAGAGUUUGAGGAAUAUUUACAAAGUGAAAACACCCAUAUAACUGUCCCCAAGAUCAAGAAAUGAAACGUAAGGUUUGAAGUUAUGGUGAGUUCACUUAGGUCUUGACUGGCCUCUUCUGAGUCCCCUUCAGGACCAGUUUCUGCUUGCUAACUCAGUGUUUCCUCAAGAUGGAUGAAUUAUGAUCGCCAGUGUUUAUAAUCAGAGUUAAUUCAGUGUUCUAAGUAAUAAACACAGAAAACUUUUGAUUUUCAUGAUUUUUCUCUCAUUCCAAGAAAUACUCCUUUAAAAAGAAAAAGAAAGAGGAGGAAAAGGAUGUGAAAUAGUCCUUCCCACCAUUUGUCAAUCACCUGUCUGCUUCCAGUCCCGUGUUUUGGGGUUUUAUUC